UGCCUACGGCCAUACCACCCUGAACACGCCCGAUCUCGUCUGAUCUCAGAAGCUAAGCAGGGUCGGGCCUGGUUAGUACUUGGAUGGG
rnacentral:rRNA from 11 species